rnacentral:lncRNA from 1 species
ACUGUUAGCCCAGUGCCCAUCUGGCUGCUUCCACAUUUAGUGAAGUGCACCAGGAUUUAGUUAUAACUUGCACUAUUGUGCCAUGAAACUCAGUUUGGCUCCAAACUGUGUUUUGUGUGUGUGUUUUGUUUUUUCUUGUUUUUGUUUUUUUUUUAGAAAGAAACUUGACCCCACUAGAACCUCAUCCAGGUAUAAAGACUUGAAGAACACUCCUAUAAAAAUUUCCCUCUCCCUCUCCCUCUCCCUCUCCCUCUCCCUCUCCGUCCCUCCCUCUCCGUCUCCGUCUCCGUCUCCGUCUCCCUCUCCCCACGGUCUCCCUCUCAUGCGGAGCCGAAGCUGGACUGUACUGCUGCCAUCUCGGCUCACUGCAACCUCCCUGCCUGAUUCUCCUGCCUCAGCCUGCCGAGUGCCUGCGAUUGCAGGCACGCGCCGCCACGCCUGACUGGUUUUGGUGGAGACGGGGUUUCGCUGUGUUGGCCGGACCGGUCUCCAGCCCCUAACCGCGAGUGAUCCGCCAACCUCGGCCUCCCGAGGUGCCGGGAUUGCAGACGGAGUCUCGUUCACUCAGUGCUCAAUGGUGCCCAGGCUGGAGUGCAGUGGCGUGAUCUCGGCUCACUACAACCUCCACCUCCCAGCCGCCUGCCUUGGCCUCCCAAAGUGCCGAGAUUGCAGCCUCUGCCCGGCCGCCACCCCGUCUGGGAAGUGAGGAGUGUCUCUGCCUGGCCGCCCAUCGUCUGGGAU